UUGCUUCAGCAGCACAUAUACUAAAAUUGGAGUAAUACAGCCAAAAUUGGCUUGGCCCCUGCACAACGAUGCAUGCAAAUUCAAGAAGAGUUCUACAUUUUU
rnacentral:snRNA from 1 species